CUUCUUUUCUUUUAGGUUUUUCAAAACAGGGUUUCUCUGUGUACCUUUGGCGGUCUUGGAACAAGGUCUAUAAACCAGGAUGGGCUGGAAUUUACAGAGAUCCAUCCGCCUGCUUGUGCCUCUUGAGUGCUGGGAUUAAAUUUGUGGGCCACCACGCCUGGCCCCGUUCAGAAUCAUUAACCUGACUACCACGAACUAGCCAUCAUUUUCCACAAAAUUUGAAACCCUCAGGAGAUGGAGGCAGAGGCACAGUGUUCAAAGGCUGCUCUCUGCAUUCUCAGCUACAUGGCUAAACGGAGGCCAGCCUGCUGUACAUUGAGAUACUAUUUCAAGAGAAGAAAAAGAAGAGGAGGAGGAAAAAUUCUAAAGUGUGAAGGGCUGCAACUGGGAAUUUAAAAAACUUCAUCAAAAGUCCUCUCAGCAAUGAAGUAAAUUCUGUGUUCAAAAUUAUUGUUGAAGAGACUGGAGAGAUGGCUCAGUGGUUAAGAGCACUGGCUGCUCUUCCAGAAGGCCUGGGUUCAAUUCUCAGCACCCAUAUGGCAGCUCCCAACCUUCUGGCCUGGGAAUUUGGCAUAGAAAAUAAGUAACUUUUUUUCUGAAGGGUACUUGUUGUAUGAUGGACGUCUCUAAAUAAGGUAUCUGUGACUUUAAGAUCCCAACUGGUGAGUACCACCUCUGGCUUGUUUCCAUGGAAACCCAAUUGAGCCUUUAGGGCAUACAGUCCUUCUUCCACUAAGGUCUCCUGUCUCUGACCCUGCACAGCUGGGCUCUGCUCAACUGUCUGGACAGUAAGGACCUUUGGCAUGGCAGACAAUCAAAACAGCAGAGAGGUCUCAGCAGGAACCAAGCCUCCCUUUCAGGAUUUGCCCUCAAAAGACUUAAACACAGAUAGCAUUGCCUUAUAGCGAAGAGGUGGUCUAAGUUGGGAGCGACAGCAGCACUAUUUCUGGGCUACACACAAUGUGCCCAGUAUUUGCCUUUGGUUCUGAAUUCCCAGACUCUGCUAAUGCGCCCUGCCCCUGCUCCAGAUUCAGGGGGCACAUAGGCACUGCAGCCCUAGGUCCCCGACUCUUACAGGUACUGCAGCCCUAGGUCCCCACUCCACAGGUACUGUAGCCCUAGCCCCAAACUCCUCGGACUGAAAGCAUUUUCCACUGAACACCCUUCCAGGUCCUCAGACUUGGAAAGCAGAUGGCUUCUUGUUGAUCUACAAAGUAUAAUUUAGUUAUGAAGAAAGGGAAGCCAAAAUUAGCAUCCCAAAUCAUAACACCGAUUCAGCUCCUACUUGUGGAGGAAAAAAAAAAAUCAGAGUUGCUUGACAGGAGCCUGCCCAUGCACUCCUGGCCUUAGAAAAACCAUUGCACCUCCCAGGAAGUGGAAGAUCCACCUGGGAUGCAGGUUGGACAGUUAGAGGGCAAGGUUGAGAAGUGACGGUGGAUCCAGAAAGACAUAUUCCCACGUAAGUUGUUCUGAAUCGAAUUCUGAGAGCACCAGGUAGGGGUGUGUGUGUCUGUCUGUCUGUCUGUCUGUCUCUGUAUAUGUCUAUCUGCCUAUGUG